GACGAACGCUGGCGGCGUGCUUAACACAUGCAAGUCGAACGGAAAGGCCCUGCUUUUGUGGGGUGCUCGAGUGGCGAACGGGUGAGUAACACGUGAGUAACCUGCCCUUGACUUUGGGAUAACUUCAGGAAACUGGGGCUAAUACCGGAUAGGAGCUCCUGCUGCAUGGUGGGGGUUGGAAAGUUUCGGCGGUUGGGGAUGGACUCGCGGCUUAUCAGCUUGUUGGUGGGGUAGUGGCUUACCAAGGCUUUGACGGGUAGCCGGCCUGAGAGGGUGGCCGGCCACAUUGGGACUGAGAUACGGCCCAGACUCCUACGGGAGGCAGCAGUGGGGAAUAUUGCACAAUGGGCGGAAGCCUGAUGCAGCAACGCCGCGUGCGGGAUAACGGCCUUCGGGUUGUAAACCGCUUUCGCCUGUGACGAAGCGUGAGUGACGGUAAUGGGUAAAGAAGCACCGGCUAACUACGUG
rnacentral:rRNA from 1 species